AAGAAGCAGAAUGCUGAUAGUUAUAAGAGAGCUCUAUAGAGCUAAAGUCCAAGAGGGAUGAAAAAAAUAGCAGUUCACUAUGAUUCAGUUCACCAGACUCUUAUGGAACCCUUACCGGAUAAAAGUGAGAACAGACUCUGGACAUACUGAGGCUCCAUUUCAGCUCUGCUUCCAGAAAAGAAGCCACAAUAUUCUCAUACUCCAUUUCCUCUUCCUGGGCAUACAAGACCUGCAGAGGACACAUCUUUAGGAUACAUACAUUACAAGAAGAAGGGAGUCCAGAUUUUCAAGUUACCACCUAGAGGGGAGCCUCCGAGGAGAACCACCCAAUCCACAUUGGAAUAUCAUGUGAGAGAGAAAUAGAAUUGUGACACCGUUAUGACGCUGAAAUGUGGGGAUCAUUAUAGUCAGUGCAAUCUUCCUAAGUGGUCAUUCAUCAGGGCAUCAUCCUGUCAAUAUUAAAUAUCUGAGCUCAGAUUUGGGCUUUGGACAGUUAGGGUAGGAGAGAGAGAAAAUAUUACUAACACUUGCUUCACUGGACUCAAGGAGGGACGUGGACUCAAGGACGACUAUGCCUUGUUUAAAAUGGCACUCUUUGCUUCCAGAAAGGCCUGCUGAUGCCUGUAUUAAAUAUAAGCUCACGUGCACCAUCUGCGUUGCAUGCUUAGAGCUGUGAGGAUCAUGGAGGGGAAGAUGUUACUCAUUAGAAAUUAUAUUACUCAGCCAUCAAAAAGAAUAAAAUCUUGCCCUUUGCCACAACAUGGCUGGAGCUAGACCGCAUUAUGCUAAGUGAAAUAAGUCAAUCAGAGAAAGACAAAUCCCAUAUGAUUUCACUCAUAUAUGGAAUUUAAGAAACAAAAUAGAUGAACAUGUGGGAAGG